AGUCUUAAAAUUAGAGUUGAUUUUAGGUUUUUUAACUGUAUUUUAUUUUUCAGGCUUGACUUUUAAAUCUCUAAAAAAAUGUAUAUAAAAGUGCUAUUCAUAAAUACUUUUUUAUUUGUAAAUAUGUCAUUUAACUUUUUCUACGAAGAAAACAAACAAGCAAACCCUAAGCAGGACAUUAUAAACCCAUCAACCGAAAACUAGAUAGAUCCCCUCCACAACUAGGAUGUUCCAUUCUUCAGAUGAAAAGAGAUGGAUGGCGCCAUUGGAAGAUAAAUCAUGCCAAGCAAUGUUGUUCUCUACCAGCACCUCUAUCAUGCAUCAUACUGUGUUGUUUGACAUGUUUGAACUAUUCUAUAGAAACGAUAUGGUAAUAUGAUCCCUAAACGCCUUUGUGAGCUGAGUCCCAAGUUCCCAUUGC
rnacentral:lncRNA from 1 species